rnacentral:misc_RNA from 1 species
GGGAUCAAAUGAUUUUGAGCAGGAUAAGAAACAGAGAGAGGCCUGUUGACACCUGGGAUGAGAUGAAAGUUGUCAUGAGAAGAAGAUUUGUCCCUAACCAUUAUUACAGAUAAUUGUAUCAAAAGUUGCAAAGACUCACACAAGGGACAAAAAGUGUGAAAGAAUACCAUAAGGAGACGGAGAUGGCUAUGAUUCGGGCAAAUGUUGAGGAAGACAGGGAAGCCACAUCGGCUCAAUUUCUAGGUGGUUUGAAUAAAGAAAUAGCUGAUUUAGUUGAGUUGCAACAUUAUGUGUAGCUAGAGGACAUGGCGCAUAUGGCCAUGAAAAUUGAAAAAGUAGCUUAGGAGGAAACGGAUGUCAAGGUAUGGCAGUAGCACAAGUUCAGUUCCUAAGAGCUCAUGGAAAUCGAAUUGGCCUACUAAGGAGGAUAAGGCUGUUUUUAAGCCUAAGCAUGAAUAAAGUAAGAGUAAGCCUCAUCGGGAUAACAAAGAUAAAACUAUGAACUCUUCCCAAUCUCAAAGAAAUAGGGAUAUAAAGUGUUUUAGAUGUUUGGGGACAGAUUAUAUUGCUUCACAAUACCCCAAUAAAAGGACAAUGAUCUUAAGGGAUAAUGGGGAUAUAGAGACUGAAAGUGAUGAAGAUAGCGAUUCUCUGCCUCCAUUAGAAGAUGCUACUAAUGUAGAGUAUGCUGUAGAGGGUAAGGCAUUAGUCACUAAGAGACACUGUUAUCAAAGGCGCGCCUCA